CAGUAGCCGCGGUAAUACGAAGGGGGCUAGCGUUGUUCGGAUUUACUGGGCGUAAAGGGCGCGUAGGCGGACUGAUAAGUCAGGGGUGAAAUCCCAAGGCUCAACCUUGGAACUGCCUUUGAUACUGUUUGUCUUGAGUUCGAGAGAGGUAAGUGGAACUGCGAGUGUAGAGGUGAAAUUCGUAGAUAUUCGCAAGAACACCAGUGGCGAAGGCGGCUUACUGGCUCGAUACUGACGCUGAGGCGCGAAAGCGUGGGGAGCAAACAGGAUUAGAUACCCCCGUAGUCCCUGUCUCUUAUAC
rnacentral:rRNA from 1 species